rnacentral:tRNA from 1 species
GGGUUGGCAAAAUGGUCAAGCUGUCCGCUUAGUAAGCGAAGAUCAUGGGUUCGAUUCCCAUCUGCUCCA